rnacentral:rRNA from 1 species
UGGGGAAUCUUGGACAAUGGGGGCAACCCUGAUCCAGCCAUGCCGCGUGAGUGAUGAAGGCCUUAGGGUCGUAAAGCUCUUUCGCCUGUGAAGAUAAUGACGGUAGCAGGUAAAGAAACCCCGGCUAACUCCGUGCCAGCAGCCGCGGUAAUACGGAGGGGGUUAGCGUUGUUCGGAAUUACUGGGCGUAAAGCGCACGUAGGCGGACCAGAAAGUUGGGGGUGAAAUCCCGGGGGCUCAACCCCGGAACUGCCUCCAAAACUAUUGGUCUAGAGUUCGAGAGAGGUGAGUGGAAUUCCAAGUGUAGAGGUGAAAUUCGUAGAUAUUUGGAGGAACACCAGUGGCGAAGGCGGCUCACUGGCUCGAUACUGACGCUGAGGUGCGAAAGUGUGGGGAGCAAAACAGGAUUAGAUACCCCUGGUAGUCCACACCGUAAAACGAUGAAUGCCAGUCGUCGGGUAGCAUGCUAUUCGGUGACACACCUAACGGA